rnacentral:rRNA from 1 species
UACGUAGGUGGCAAGCGUUGUCCGGAUUUAUUGGGUUUAAAGGGUGCGUAGGCGGCCUUGUAAGUCAGUGCUGGAAUAUCCCGGCUUAACCGGGAGGGUGGCAUUGAUACUGCAGGGCUUGAGUAAAGUUGAGGUUGGCGGAAUUGACGGUGUAGCGGUGAAAUGCUUAGAUAUCGUCAAGAACACCGAUAGUGAAGACAGCUAACUAAGCUUUAACUGACGCUGAGGCACGAAAGUGUGGGGAGCAAACAGG